rnacentral:rRNA from 1 species
CCUACGGGCGGCAGCAGUGAGGAAUAUUGGUCAAUGGGCGAGAGCCUGAACCAGCCAAGUCGCGUGAAGGAUGAAGGCUCUAUGGUUUGUAAACUUCUUUUGUAUGGGAGUAAAGCGCGGGACGUGUCCCGUUUUGUAUGUACCUUAUGAAUAAGGAUCGGCUAACUCCGUGCCAGCAGCCGCGGUCAUACGGAGGCUCCGAGCGUUAUCCGGAUUUAUUGGGUUUAAAGGGUUCUGAGGCGGCUUUUUAAGUCAGCGGGGAAAGUCUCGGGCUUAACCAGAGAAUUGCCGUUGAAACUGGGGGUCUUGAGUAGGGUUGAGGUAGGCGGAAUGCGUGGUGUAGCGGUGAAAUGCUUAGAGAUCACGCAGAACCCCGAUUGCGAAGGCAGCCUGCCAAGCCAUGACUGACGCUGAUGCACGAAAGCGUGGGGAUCAAACAGGAUUAGAUACCCCUGUAGUC